AGAUAACUCUCGAAAAAAAAGUGUGCAAAACGCUUUACACUACUUGUCCGGUCUAUGUGUUCUCUGGUUAGUGGUUUUACCCUGCUCAAAGCCAAUGCUUGCAAACACUUGCAAACAUCAGUAUAUUUGGAAAACGACCGCAAGCGAGUAUAGCCUAUAAUACGGACAGACGAUAAUUCGACUCUUCGCCCUAUUCAAGAAUAUACCUUGUGGAGUCUGCCACGCCUUCUGCUGACAAUUCCAUUAUACCUUUAUUUCCCAUUUUCAAUCUGUUCAGAAUAUAAGCAAUUACGUUCCAAUACUGCA